GUAACCAACUGCGGCCUUGACCUCCAACAGUAUCAGCAACAGAGAGGUGUGAAGUUUCCACAACAGACUUAGAGUCAGUUUAUCAUACACUUCUCUUUAGACGCUGCAGCCUUGACCUCCAUCAACAGAGUUAGAGUUAGUUUAUCAUGAGAACAUACAGACACCACUGACUGGAACCAGCUGACAGUAUCAGUUGUAAAGGCUUCAUUACUACUAACAGAAGGAAAGUUGUAGUGUUAUGUCCAUGAUGAAUGAUGUAAAGGCUUCAUUACUACUAACAGAAGGAAAGUUGUAGUGUCCAUGAUGAAUGAUGUAAAGGCUUCAUUACUACUAACAGAAGGAAAGUUGUAGUGUUAUGUCCAUGAUGAAUGAUGUAAAGGCUUCAUUACUACUAACAGAAGGAAAGUUGUAGUGUCCAUGAUGAAUGAUGUAAAGGCUUCAUUACUACUAACAGAAGGAAAGUUGUAGUGUUAUGUCCAUGAUGAAUGAUGUAAAGGCUUCAUUACUACUAACAGAAGGAAAGUUGUAGUGUUAUGUCCAUGAUGAAUGAUGUAAAGGCUUCAUUACUACUAACAGAAGGAAAGUUGUAGUGUUAUGUCCAUGAUGAAUGAUGUAAAGGCUUCAUUACUACUAACAGAAGGAAAGUUGUACUGUUAUGUCCAUGAUGAAUGAUGUAAAGGCUUCAUUACUACUAACAGAAGGAACGUUGUAGUGUUAUGUCCAUGAUGAAUGAUGUAAAGGCUUCAUUACUACUAACAGAAGGAACGUUGUAGUGUUAUGUCCAUGAUGAAUGAUGUAAAGGCUUCAUUACUACUAACAGAAGGAAAGUUGUAGUGUUAUGCCCAUGAUGAAUGAUGUAAAGGCUUCAUUACUACUAACAGAAGGAACGUUGUAGUGUUAUGUCCAUGAUGAAUGAUGUAAAGGCUUCAUUACUACUAACAGAAGGAAAGUUGUAGUGUUAUGUCCAUGAUGAAUGAUGUAAAGGCUUCAUUACUACUAACAGAAGGAACGUUGUAGUGUUAUGUCCAUGAUGAAUGAUGUAAAGGUUUCAAUGUGUUUUAUAUUGAGCUGCUCUGUUAAAUUCUGUUUGUUCAUGUGAAAUUGGAAAUUGUAUUUUUCUAUAAUGUCAUUGUGUGUGUUUAGCUUGAGCAACACCAUUGUAUGGUUGGAGUAAUAACAUGUUCCACUACUGAAGACAUUGUCUCUAAUCUAGGUUGGAGUAGUAACAUGUUCCACUACUGAA
rnacentral:lncRNA from 1 species